GUGAGGAAUAUUGGACAAUGGGUGAGAGCCUGAUCCAGCCAUCCCGCGUGAAGGACGACUGCCCUAUGGGUUGUAAACUUCUUUUGUACAGGGAUAAACCUAGAUACGUGUAUCUAGCUGAAGGUACUGUACAAAUAAGCACCGGCUAACUCCGUGCCAGCAGCCGCGGUAAUACGGAGGGUGCAAGCGUUAUCCGGAUUUAUUGGGUUUAAAGGGUCCGUAGGCGGAUCUGUAAGUCAGUGGUGAAAUCUCACAGCUUAACUGUGAAACUGCCAUUGAUACUGCAGGUCUUGAGUAAAGUAGAAGUGGCUGGAAUAAGUAGUGUAGCGGUGAAAUGCAUAGAUAUUACUUAGAACACCAAUUGCGAAGGCAGGUCACUAUGUUUUAACUGACGCUGAUGGACGAAAGCGUGGGGAGCGA
rnacentral:rRNA from 1 species